AAAACGCGAACAGUUUAAACAGCAACACGCCAAACACACGCGUAUGUGUUAUGGUGCUCGAUCUAAAACACACUGGAAGGAAACGCGAGCCUGAUUCCAAGGUUCCGCAUUAAACUAAAGCAGAGUUCUGAUCAUCUGCCUCAUGGAUGGCUUUAAAGCUUCAUCUUCCUGAAAGUGAGAAAGCAGCCUGGGAUGACAGAUUGGACUGGUCCAUGUGCCGCUGUGCAGAGGGGGGGAAGUGCUGCUCCCUGUGGUUUUCCAUCCUGACUCACACCCUCAUCCUCUCUCUUUCCCCCUCGCCCCUCCGGCU